ensembl:lncRNA
CUCUUAUGCACCGGGGCAAAUACAAGCGCUGAGAAGGUGAAAGCACUUGGCUCUUAUGAAGAUUUCCUCCCAACCCCAAUUACCACAGAUUCACACUUCGCACAGGCACAAGGAGGAACUCCAAGACUUCAUAUAGCUACUGUUGGAAAGGGGUCAAAUAUGCAGAAGAUGCUGGAACAGCAAAGAAUGUGCAGGACCUGGAGGAUUCUUCUGAAGAACAGCGGGCAGUUUAACUGCUCAGGACAAACAAGGGACUCGUGAACAUCUAUCACAAAACAUAUAAACAGUCGUUGAUCCUCCAGGUAACAACACACAGUAUUAAAAAU